ACUACAUUAUCAGCCUCUUCUUCUGAAGACUGUUGUGUAAUGCUGGCAGUUGCCGCUUCUACUUCAUCUAUUGAAUUCAUUUCACUGAAAAUAUUUUCAACUUCAAGAGUGUUCUUGCUCAUUUGCUUUAUGGAAGGAUUAACGUUAAAAUUGUUAAUGGAUUGUCUAGGUCUAGGAUCUCCUGAGCGAUUCGCAAUGGCCCAUAAGUGACCAGCUCCAUGCGGUGCCUUUGAUCCCUUCCUGAAGUGAGGAUUUAUGGAGAGAUUGUGCCGCACAGAAUUUUUCCAACGGUCAUCGUUGCUUUUGUAAUAGGGAAAGUGUUCUCUAGAUAUAAUAAGAAAAAUAAUUUAUUAAUUUUCCAAAUAUAGUAAACAAAAAUAAGUAAGUUAGGCGGGAGUUGAUAAAUUUUAUAAAAAUUGUUUUACAAUAUAGAAUUUACUAUAUAGAAAAAUUCUAAUUUUGUCACUUAUUCAAUGAGCAAUAAAUAAUCAUGUGAAUGUCUACAUUUGCAUAAUGACAGACGUUUAAAUAGUUCCUGUCACUUGUCGGUUCAACGUCGACAAGCGUGCUCACCCCACGAGAACAAUUUUCUUCACCUGCUUGCGGCGACGUCACGGAGUGUUACACACUCCCCUAAUUAAUUCUCUGUCUUUAGGAAAAGACGAAAGACCCGCUGAAACGCCCCAAGCAUAAGGCUUUAAAUAGUAACUUUAUCUGAUCCAAUAACUACAUACAUGUAUCUAAUGAUUAUGCAAACAAAAAAAGAACAAUGCGCCUUUACAUUAUAGAUUUUUAUUGAUUUUCAUUAUGGUUGGUUUCAAAUAAUAUGAAAUAUCACUUAAUUUGAAAAUUUGUUUGGUAUAUGUGACCUAAUUACCAAAAAUAAGUUAAAAAUAUCAAAAGCUAUCCAAAGUAUGAGUGCAAAAUACCCAGAGUAACAACUGAUUUCUUCCAGAAAGAAUAAAUUUGUUAAUUGUUCUAUACAGUAAAGAGAAUUUUAUAUAUCAGUUAUAUUUUAUUAAACCAUUUUGAUCCUCUUCAUUAAAUAACCAAUACCAUUAAUACAUACAUUAAAUAUAUAAAAAAGGAGAAAUCAAAAGGGAGAAAAUAAAAUAAAAGAUCAAAUGUAUCUAUAAAAAUGUCAUUUUGUAGAUUUGUAAGUAUCGAAUUCAUCUCCCUGGAAGUGAUUCAUCCUAAGUGUACUAUGUAAUACAUUCAGUAUAUAUGGUUCUCCUUCGAACCGUAGGAAAUGUAGGAAACGAGUUUCUACGAAUUUACGAGAACGUGGUCCGCGUCGAUGCGGGGUAGCUGGUCGGGGAGGGUCGCGUUCUUAGAUGGUACCCCUUGGCACCGCUGCCCUCGCUACGCAGUGGUACCAGCUGGUACCGGCUCUUUUGCUCGUUUCAACCCUCCCUCUACUCUCCACCAACACGAAUGUGCACAAUUUACUGGUUCUGUGCUUUCACCUGUUCGAUCGAAGGUUUGUCAAAUAUAGAUAAUAUAGAUAAUCGA